rnacentral:rRNA from 1 species
UAGGGAAUAUUAGUAAUGGGCGAAAGCCUGAACUAGCAACACCGCGUGUGCGAAGAAGGCCUUCGGGUUGUAAAGCACUUUUUGAGAGGAUGAGGAAGGACGGUACUCUCAGAAUAAGUCUCGGCUAACUACGUGCCAGCAGCCGCGGUAACACGUAGGAGGCAAACGUUAUCCGGAUUUACUGGGCGUAAAACGUGUGUAGGCGGUUUGAUAAGUUGGAUGUGAAAGCGCCUGGCUUAACUGGGAGAGGUCGUUCAAAACUAUCAGACUUGAGAGGGGUAGAGGGAGGUGGAAUUCCGAAUGUAGUGGUAAAAUACGGAGAGAUCAGGAGGAACACCAGCGGCGCAGGCGGCUCACUAGACAGUUUCUGACGCUAAGAUACGAAAGCGUGGGGAGCAAACA